GCUUACGGCCAUACCAACCUGGCUAUGCCUGCUCUCGGAAGCUAAGCAGGUUUGGGCCUGGUUAGUACUUGGAUGGUAGACCGCCUGGGAAUACCAGGUGCUGUAAGCU
rnacentral:rRNA from 1 species